rnacentral:rRNA from 1 species
UACGAAGGGGGCUAGCGUUGCUCGGAAUCACUGGGCGUAAAGCGCACGUAGGCGGAUUCUUAAGUCGGUGGUGAAAUCCUGGAGCUCAACUCCAGAACUGCCUUCGAUACUGGGAGUCUUGAGUCCGGGAGAGGUGAGUGGAACUGCGAGUGUAGAGGUGAAAUUCGUAGAUAUUCGGAAGAACACCAGUGGCGAAGGCGGCUCACUGGCCCGGUUCUGACGCUGAGGUGCGAAAGCGUGGGGAGCAAACAGG